rfam:Oceanobacillus picturae, S1, WGS project CCAX01000000 data, contig: 000001
UCUGGUAGUAAUAGCGGAGAGGUCACACCUGUUCUCAUGCCGAACACAGAAGUUAAGUUCUCCAGCGCCGAUGGUAGUUGGGACUUUGCCCCUGCAAGAGUAGGACGCCGCCAGGC